GGGUGAUGUUUCCAAAACUAUUAUGAAGUGAAAUCAGUCACUUGAUGCGCUUGACGGCUGACUCUUAAUCAGCGGGUCGAAGGUUCGAGUCCUUCAUCACCCACCA
rnacentral:tRNA from 1 species